rnacentral:lncRNA from 1 species
GAGGACUUUCCAUAUAGUUAAGGACAGGCAAAGGUGAAGACUAGAUCAAAUGUCUAACAGUGAAGCAUCUUGUUGCAUGUGAUUUUCUUCUGACUUCUUAAUAAUUUGUGCUGUAUUUUAUAUUUCCAAAUAAUUUUCUAAGCAUCCAUUUAGGUGCAGAAUUAUAGUGACAAAAAAGUGUAAUAAUAAUGAUACAUGACAUUGGUUUGAACUGGAAUUCGCAUUUACCAAUUGAGUAUAUGGUCAGGAUUUGUUAAAACAAAUGGGUUUAUUACCCAUUUCCAAGUAAGAUCAGGCACAUUCCAAUUAUAGUUCUGUUCUCUUGGAUAGAUAAUGUAUUCUAUCUCCAAAACAUGAAGGCAGUAUCUAAAACAUCUGCUUCCUUUGAAGACUGAAGAGACAUUCUAGUUAAAAUGAGGUGCGUUUUUUUAUAUCAUCCCUAGAUAUUUUCUUGGGCUCAUGCUGCUCCUUAGUAGCUCAGAGAUUUCCAAUCAUGUUUAUUUUUGGGGAAAAAAAAGCAUAUUAAAAUAUUAUUUUCUGUAGAGUAAUAUUCUACAGUUAUAUCUGAAUAUUCAUGUUCUGGUAAACUUCCUAAUUGUAAGAAGCACCUUAAACUUAAUAACCAAGAAUAGCAUCGAGUGUUGUCAAAUAUAGCUGAUUACCAGCUUUAUUUAAUUUUCACAAAUCCAUCCAAGAAUUUCCAGACCACAGAAGAGUUGCAUUAAGGGUAGCAAAAACCUAAUUCUAAAACUAUUCAAUACUUAUAAAAAGCUGUAGUGUUAUGCAAACUUCAGUCACUAUUUCUCAAGUAGGCAGUAUACUGGUGCCUAUUAAAAUCAGGUAGAUGCUAAUAGCUU